CAAGUGUUGUUAAAGAAGGAAGGUGACUGGGCAAUACCCUCAUUAGUUUUGGACAUUCUCUCAUGUAAAGCUCUCGGAGGAGAGGGAAAGCCUUGCCUUCAUCUUCGUCUUUGUAAGAAAACCAUUCACACCACUGCUCCAUUCUUUCAAACCUUAAGAUUUCGAGGCACCCAAAUGGCUUCUUCACGGAUGUGCAACUUCCAUAGAACUCAUCACUGACGGUCACAACUUUGUCAAGUGCUAUGAUCCCGAGCUCCUUUAAAGAUGUUAACUGUCCCAGUGGAGGUAAGGAGGAGCAGUUUAUACAUCCAUCAAGCCUCAAGGAUACAAUAUUUGAGAAAAAAGCUUCUCCUACCCAACUUGGAAAUCCUGCACUCUCAUAACCAAUGAUGGAAAGGCAUUCAAUAUUUUUGUGAGGCUUCAAUUGCUCAAGUACAUGAAGAGAAUUGCCCAUGUUACCAGCCCAUCUCAACUUCAACUUCUUGAGAUGCUUCUUAUCCUUCAAAUUGGCUUGUAAAGCAUCUUCAGCCUCCACAACAUUUUGCAAGUUCCAAAUACAGAGUUUUCCUCGAAGAUGUUGAAGCUCUCCCAACUCUUUAAUGCUAGACCCACUCUGUUCUCCCACAAUAAAAUCUGUUAACUUCUGGAGUCUUGUUAGCUUAGACAUGAGUUUUGGCAUCUCUUUCAAUUUUGUUUUCCUGAUAUCAAGAUGGCAUAAGUUGACCAACCUUGACAUGUUGGUUGGCAACCCCUCAAAGUCUUUGCACUUAUACAAGAUUAAAGUCUGCAAACUAUAACAACUAUUCACAGAUUCAGGCAACCUUUUGAUUUUAGUACGCGACAAGUCAAGGUAGCGUAAGUGCUUUAAGGCACCAAUUGAAUCCGGCAACUCCACAAUCUCAUAAUGAGUUAGAGAUAGUACCCGUAAGCAUUUUAAUUUUGGCACCAAAUCAUGCAUCACAUUACUAGAUAAACAGUAUCUAGGAGUGAAGUACUGCUCAUUAGUGUAACUCAAUGAUAAAAAUGUCCGCAAGCUUUUCAUUCCAUAAAAGCUUUCAAAUCUUUGAAAAGUAUUUCGGCCAUGAGGAAUAAAUGACGAAUGUCGAAUCUUUGCAUAUAAUUUUGCACUCUCCAACUUAUCAACCAAAUGCAAACAUGUUCCUCUACUAACAAAGCGAGCUAAAUCAUGAAUUAAGUCAUGCAUUAUAUAUUUCAAUUUAUUAUCAUUAGAUUGUUGAAAAAAUGAUCUUGAU
rnacentral:misc_RNA from 1 species